UACGUAGGGUGCAAGCGUUAAUCGGAAUUACUGGGCGUAAAGCGUGCGCAGGCGGUUUUGUAAGACAGUGGUGAAAUCCCCGGGCUCAACCUGGGAACUGCCAUUGUAACUGCAAGGCUAGAGUGCGGCAGAGGGGGAUGGAAUUCCGCGUGUAGCAGUGAAAUGCGUAGAUAUGCGGAGGAACACCGAUGGCGAAGGCAAUCCCCUGGGCCUGCACUGACGCUCAUGCACGAAAGCGUGGGGAGCAAACAGGAUUAGAU
rnacentral:rRNA from 1 species